AUUGAACGCUGGCGGUAUGCUUAACACAUGCAAGUCGAACGGUAGCAGGCCUUCGGGCGCUGACGAGUGGCGGACGGGUGAGUAACGCGUAGGAAUCUGCCUGGUAGUGGGGGACAACGUGGGGAAACUCACGCUAAUACCGCAUACGUUCCCUAUUGAAAGAUGGGGAGGAAAGCGGGGGCUCUUCGGACCUCGCGCUAUCAGAUGAGCCUGCGUUAGAUUAGCUAGUUGGUAGGGUAAAGGCCUACCAAGGCGACGAUCUAUAGCUGGUCUGAGAGGACGAUCAGCCACACUGGGACUGAGACACGGCCCAGACUCCUACGGGAGGCAG
rnacentral:rRNA from 1 species